rnacentral:rRNA from 1 species
UACGUAGGAGGCGAGCGUUGUCCGGAGUUACUGGGCGUAAAGGGUGCGCAGGCGGCGGUUCGCGUGGAUAGGUGAAAUCUCCUGGCUUACCUGGGAGGAUGGUAUCCAGACGGGAUCGCUUGAGGGUCGGAGAGGGGCGUGGAAUUCCGGGUGGAGCGGUGAAAUGCGUAGAGAUCCGGAGGAACACCGACGGCGUAGGCAGCGCCCUGGACGACACCUGACGCUGAGGCACGAAAAGCUGGGGGGAGCGAACAGG